GACGAACGCUGGCGGCGUGCCUAAUACAUGCAAGUCGAGCGGAAGUUGGAGAGCUUGCUCUUCAACUUUAGCGGCGGACGGGUGAGUAACACGUGGGCAACCUACCCUGCAGAUCGGGAUAACUCCGGGAAACCGGUGCUAAUACCGAAUAGUUUUCGCCACCCCACGGUGGCGUACGGAAAGACGGUUUCGGAUGUCACUGUAGGAUGGGCCCGCGGCGCAUUAGCUAGUUGGUGGGGUAACGGCCCACCAAGGCGACGAUGCGUAGCCGACCUGAGAGGGUGAUCGGCCACACUGGGACUGAGACACGGCCCAGACUCCUACGGGAGGCAGCAGUAGGGAAUCUUCCGCAAUGGACGAAAGUCUGACGGAGCAACGCCGCGUGAGUGACGAAGGUUUUCGGAUCGUAAAACUCUGUUGUGAGGGAAGAACAAGUACCACUUAACUACUGGUACCUUGACGGUACCUCACCAGAAAGCCACGGCUAACUACGUGCCAGCCGCCGCAGUAA
rnacentral:rRNA from 1 species